UACGUAGGGGGCAAGCGUUGUCCGGAAUUAUUGGGCGUAAAGAGCGUGUAGGCGGUCCGGUAAGUCAGCUGUGAAAGUCAAGGGCUCAACCCUUGAAAGCCGGUUGAUACUGUCGGGCUAGAGUCCGGAAGAGGCGAGUGGAAUUCCCGGUGUAGCGGUGAAAUGCGCAGAUAUCGGGAGGAACACCAAUGGCGAAGGCAGCUCGCUGGGCUGACACGACGCUGAUGCGCGAAAGCC
rnacentral:rRNA from 1 species